UGGCUUCUUUCUGCGUGAUGCUAUGCAGCUAGGAUGGGUCACGCUGACAACAAAGAAGGAAGCAGAAAGCAUCACUUUCUCUUCUCUUGUGAUGUUAGCGGAACAUAACUCUUCUUCGCAGUGAUGCCCUCCUCUCUGUGUGUGUGUGUGUGUGUGUGUGUAUGCGUGUUUUAAUUCAUCUAAUCGAAGAGCCUAGCAAACAUCAUCAUGGACGUGGUUUUUAAUGAUUUGGAAAAAGCAAAAAAAAGACAGCCUGUGGAGACAGCGAUUCGAAACAGCGGCACAUUUAGGUUAUUGCCAAUUUGAAAUACUUGGUUUGUGAAGCUGAGCCCUAAGGGACAAGCUCGGUAACUGAGGAAGAGAUCGUAGAUAAAGAAAUAAAAAUGACAAGCGUAAUGGAGGCUCUGCGAAGGGACUGUCAGAGCAUCAGUUCAUGGAUGGCAAUUUCGCCAGGCUGAGAUUGAAUAAUUCAUAGAUUGAAAUUACCCUGCUUUCACCUUUCCAUUUAAACCGGCAUGAUCUGAAUCUCUAAUAAAUUUUCAAGAUAAAGUAAAAUGCCAAUUUGAAUCUGAAGAGCUUUUAAAACCAGAUGCUGCAUCCCUGCAUCUUUCGGUAUCUUUCACAAUUAUCCUAUGAGAACAGCACUUCAUCACGAAGCACCAUUACCAGGGAAAAUUACUGUGAUUACAAUAGCAACAAUAGAACACCAUCAAAUGAUCUCUAAUUUACCUAAUUUGCUAAGACUGACUGUGUGGUUUUGAUAUCCAUUGUAUGUCACCAUGCCCGGCACCCGUGAAGCUAUCUCGCGCUGGAACAAAAGUGGCAUCGUGUGUGUGUGUGUGUGCGCGUGUGUGUGUGUGUGCACGCACAUCCUGCUACCUUAACUGUGAAAGCCUGGCAAAGAAUAUUCUCCUAGGUUACCAUAUUUCUUUCCUUUGGUUCACAUUUUUGCUUUUUUCCAAUGCCUCUACCCCAAACGUGUUUGGGGAAAUGGAGAGCCUGUCAUGGAUGACUGUUUUUUGAUACAGAAGAGCAUUGAUUUGUUAAUUUAUAUACCCACUUUACUUUAAUGUCUACAAGCAUGUGUUUACUAAAAGGGAGGUAGGAUGCUGUUCUGGGAGAGUAGUUUUAAAAUGCAGCCGAGAUGUAGCAUAUGUGUUUGUUUCUUCCUUGAAACGCCUGUCUGUCUCUUUCAGGUUAGAAAUCCUUUCCGGGAACUUUAGUCCUGGUGUGAUGUGUCAGAAGCCUCUCAGAUUGCAAAGAAGCUCGGGAGAGACAAUCAGUAAUAACUCUAUACAGCUUUUAUUAAAAGCAUGCAUGUUCAAUUCAGUGAUUAAAUGAAGCUUCGGUACAACUUUGGCUAUGUUUAUGCCUGCUCACUCUGGAGUAAAAGUCUGUACUAAAGAGAACUUUUUGGGACAGGCUGCACGGUUCAUCUCAGGGUAAUUGUGCCAUCCUGAGAAGGUGGCAUGGAUCAUAAAUCCUCCCUGGAGAACAGACUGUAAUCAUUAAUAGGCACAAUGGCUUGUGGAAUUUUACUUUCAAUAGUAUGAAGGUAGUAUGUGGGUUUCUGCUAGUCAAGUGAUUUAAGUGUGGUUAUCUAAGGUAGGGCUUCGGAGGUACGACAACCAUCUGGGAGGAAGAUUUACCCCUUCCCUUAUCCUGUGACCCAACAAAUACCGUUGUCAGAGCAGAACUGGAAAUAUCGACAAACAGCAUUGAAGGCUCCUGGACUACCACAGUAGGUGAUCUCUAGUGAAGAAGGUUGAGAUUUGCAUGCAGUAUUUCCAGAAUGUUGAAUAUCAGCAUGGAUCACUGCAAAGAAGUUGGAACUCAUCUCACAUGAACUUCUCAGGUGAAAAGGGACUUGACAACUGAGACUUCUCUAAUAAGUGCAAAAAUUAUGUUCUCUUACAAGACCACCAACAUGCUUCAAACGUUAGUGAGAUAAAACAGCAGGAGGGUUUGGAACUCUGGAUCCUCAGCCUGGAUGUGUCACAAUUUAAUCCCAAAGGUUUGCUGUGAAGUUGUGAGCAUGACAGCGUGAAACUCGACAGAUUAUUCUUGAAUUCUUUGUUUGUUUUCGUUGUGACCUGACUCUCAUAAAAUUUAUGUUUUCUUCCAAA